rnacentral:snRNA from 1 species
GUUUGCUACCUAACCUCUUAUU